rnacentral:lncRNA from 12 species
ACUUAAUGCUUUUUAGGUCUUUGAACCUAUUUAGAUUUGCCUCAAGGGUUGAACUUCUUAGGCUGAACUUCUUAGGCUGCAUGAUUCCAGAAAUUGUACUGUAUUGUACUUAACUCAUGCAUUAGGUCAGGUUCUACAGAGUUUGAGGUGAAGAUUUGUGGGAAGUUUAUUGGAGAGUGCUCUCAGAAUGGCAGCUAUGAGGGAACGAGGGAAGCAGGACUGGUGUGUGAUACUUUUGCAAGAAAAAUUCAACCAACACCAAGGCAGCUGUGGAGCAGAAAUGGUCCUACAGAUUAAGGCAAGAGGGCUACGUCCUAUGACUCUCUACUGAUCAGCUAUUACCUGCAGAAUGCCUCCAAGAAAGAAGUAUACACGGGGCCAGGCAGCUUCCUUCAGCCAAGGCCAAUUCCUGGGGAGGGACCCAAUGUGAGUUAUCAGCAGCCAACUCUGAUUCCUGCAGCUUCUGGGGGAAUGAAUGUCAGUGUUCCAGCAUCUGGGCCUUCCAGCACAGGCUCUACUCCAGCAUGCUGUGGUCUAACCAAAUUCAUUUACUUCCUAGAGUAAGUUCACCCCAUCUUUUUUUUUUUUUUUUAUCAGUCCUGCAGGAUUCCACGUAUUGCAGCCAUCCAUGGACCUCAAGAGCAGCCAUCCAAGUCCACUGUUGUUACAAUCACUCCUCACCCCUGUUUCAAACACCUGUGAUACUGCCCUGCUCCAGCCACCAGUGCAGAGCCUUCCACCACAUUCCAUCACACCUCGCCAGCAGGCAGCCGCAGUAACUGCAGGUCUACACAGGCCUGAUUCCAUGAGUACUUCGCCUACCAACUGGAUGGAGUAGUCCCUGCCCACAUCCCGUUAGUGGUGGGUAAUCAAGUUCCUAGGCUUGUAUUGCAGUCUGAUGCUUCCUGGCUCACCCUAUCUCUUGAGAAGUGUGCCUUCAGUCAAGAGACUGUGUGCCUCUCUCAUGUCCUCUCCAUUUGGGAAGAUCAAGUUAGUAGCUUGAAACCUUCUGAGAUGGGAGUAUUUAUACCAUGGAGGUUGACUAAUGCUACAAAUUAAGGUGUUCCCCACCCCACCCACCCACCCACCCAGAAAGCCAGUUGCUAAACAUUUGCCAACCCACCACUGGUUUUGUCUUCAGUCCACUUCUGGCACCAACUCUUCUUCAGUUGGAGGCCUGAGAAAGACUUUGAAAUGGAGAUUUGUCUGCAUGAAGUCUACUGGGGAACUGAAAGCAAUGCCUGUGAGGCAGUGAAGAAGGAAGAAAGACUGGCCACCGGGGAAGUGAAAACAUAACGCGGUCUUGUCAAAGGUCUCGGACAAUCCCUGGAGUUCCAGAGUUGGGACUGUUCCCCAAAGUGACCCAGAAUUGAAACAGCAAAUCAGGCCUUUCUAUGCCUCUCCUGACGAGUCCAAGAUGCCAGCCAUCCCCAGCUGCGUGUGUCACUUUGGGUGAGGCAGUUACUUCCUGGGGAGGAAUUCAGCCGUGAACCCUAAGUGGCCAAAAAGAAUUCCUGCAACACACCGGGGAUUGAGUGUUUGGGCCCUAACAGUGGGCUGUGAACAACUGUGAGUUCCUUCUCUACCAGUAAAUAUUUAUCUCACUGUCUUUCUUAGGUACAUCAUGUACUACACAAACCUACUUUUCCUAUUAUAAAAUUCUCCAAAGAAUUUUCUUAUAGAUAGUAUUUGCAUACCCUGGUAUUUUAAUAGGGAAAUUCCUAAGAAAUAUGUUUUUUUUAAAGGAUUUUAUUUAUUUAUUCAUGAGAGAGGCAGAGG